UUUGACCUCCUCAUCCCUGUCACAAGCACAGAGAUGACGGGGGAGAGAGAUUGUAGUCCCUAUGCUGCGGUCUGAAGCGGCAUCAGCAGCAUCAGUCGAUGCCGUGU
rnacentral:sRNA from 1 species